AAAUGGUGAGAGAACUUUGGAUGUGGAACGUGGAGGAGGAGGAACACGAAGUGGGGAUCUGCACUUGGGGUGGUCAACACUGCGGAUGCCCAGCAAAGGCACUGCCUGGUCCACCUCCCGGAGGGGUCUCUGCGCCCCAGUCGGCAUCGCAGCUGAUGGUGAAACUUUUGGUGUGGCAGAAGAGUGUCCACAAACUUUGGAAGAUCAGAAAUGCCUACAGUUGCGGCCCCCUGUAGUGCAAUUUGUGUCAGUCUGGGGAGAGUGGAUUUGGAGCCCAACCACCAUUGAGGAAAAUCUGUCUGAUGGACAUGAGCCUCACUCAGGUUCUCAUCUACUUCCUUGGGGUCUGCCCCACCUCCCUCAGGAGUUUGGAACCACAUACUCUUCUGGAGGGGACCUCUCACUGCUGCAGAACCUGUCCUCCAGGAUACCCACAAGUGUUCAUCUCGGUCGUGGCUAAUUAACUUACCAUAUGGUAGUGAACUACCUUCUGGGGCCCCAAUAUUUUUUUUUUAUUUUUUAAAAAUAAAAUUAGUACCAUUGAUUAUUUUC
rnacentral:sRNA from 1 species